GCCUGGUUAGUACUUGGAUGGAAGACCUCCUGGGAAUAACAGGU
ensembl:rRNA 5S_rRNA 5S ribosomal RNA